rnacentral:misc_RNA from 1 species
GUUAUCUUGCACCAGAAUGGAUAUCAGGGGUGGCCAUUACAGCCAAAGCCGAUGUUUAUAGCUAUGGCAUGAUGCUUUUGGAAAUUGUAUCAGGGAAGCGAAACUCGGAAUACUCUCAAGAUGGGAAAGUGAAAUUCUUUCCUAGUUGGGCUGCACGUGUAGUCGUUGAUGAAGGCGAUAUCCUUAGCCUAUUGGACUAUAGGCUGGACAGAGCUGCUGAUGCUGAGGAGUUGUCAAAAAUAUGUAAAGUUGCAUAUUGGUGCAUCCAAGAUGAUGAAUUUCAAAGACCCUCAAUGGGUCAGGUUGUUCAGAUUCUUGAAGGAGUUUUGGAUGUGAAUUUGCCUCCUAUCCCACGCUCUCUUCAAGUUUACGCAGACAAUGAGGAGCACAUCAUUUUCUUCACCGAGUCAUCCUCGAGCCAGACUAGCUCACAAGCUCAGAGCAAAACUUCAAGUACAACAUCUCAAUCUAAAAGCAUAGCAGAGUCUACGAAUUCCAGGUCUUAAGUAUGACUUUCAACUACUACUUGCAAUGUAUAUCAUUAGUAACUAAUUCGAAUUAUCUAUGCUUAGCUCUGUAAAAUGAUAUAAUGUUCAGCCCUUGCAUUAUCCGUUG